UGAGGUGAUAGGUAUGGUCACGAUUUUUAGGGUUUAUUGUUUGGAAAUUCAGAAUAAAUACCAAAGUCUGCUCGAGCAGCCAUUGCAGACUGCAUACAACAGGCCAAGGGAUUCAUGACUCACGAGUCAUGAAUCAAAAAACAAAAAACAAAAAUCCACAUUACAUGUCAUUUCAUAAGACUUUAAUGCUUUAAGAAGUUUAGUAGGGUUUUACUCUACUUACAAUAAUCCAUCCAUAACAAAUUACUAUCUUAAGAUCUGCUGAAGUUGAACGACCUGUUGUCUU
rnacentral:lncRNA from 1 species